UACGUAGGGUGCAGGCGUUAAUCGGAAUUACUGGGCGUAAAGCGUGCGCAGGCGGUCUUUUAAGUCAGAUGUGAAAUCCCCGGGCUUAACCUGGGAACUGCGUUUGAAACUGGAAGGCUAGAGUGUGGCAGAGGGGGGUGGAAUUCCACGUGUAGCAGUGAAAUGCGUAGAUAAUGUGGAGGAACACCGAUGGCGAAGGCACCCCCUGGGCUAACACUGACGCCUCAUGCA
rnacentral:rRNA from 1 species